rnacentral:tRNA from 1 species
ACAUUGGUGGCUCAGUGGUAGCGUUCUCACCUUCCAUGUGGGAGACUCAGGUUUGAUUCCUGGCCAAUGCA